rnacentral:sRNA from 1 species
AAGCCCUUUUUUUAUCCUUUGUUUUCAUGCAUCUACUUUCCCAAUUGUUCGUUUGGCGACUUAACAUUCACAGAGUAUCCAAUUCUAAUAAUUUAAUUCUACGUUUUGGGUUUUCAAUUGAAACAAUUGGACAGUCAAUUGAGUUCUGGAAGAAGGCUAUCGACGUUUCUGUUCGUAGGCGAGAGACUAAAAAAGAAUCCCGAUAUUGGAAGAUUCUCACCAUCCAAUUCAUGAAAAAGGAGGAUUUUCCAUUGAAAACCAUCUUCAAAAUCAGGAGGGUCUGGUUCUUCUGAUUCAAGGCGUAAGUGAAAUCCUUGUGAAUUAUGCUAUUCUCACUCACAGACACAGCUUUUCUGCAAUUUUUGCUUUUUCAUUAUACUACUAUCAUAGGAAGAUGUAAAAUGAUGAGAAAAAAAUUUGUGAAGGAGGAUGGGAACUGAGAAGAAGUGGGGAAACUAUCGCAAAGGACCUUGUCACUUUAUUUCUUGCUGUUGUUGGAACUAUAAAUAGUGGAAACCUAACAGAGUCUAUGAUGAUGUUUUGCUCAAAUGAUAUGCCAGAAUUUUCAUCUUCUCUAAUAUGUUUAGAAUUUUUGGGUUCUUCUAUUUCUCUUGUAUGAAUAAAAUGCUAGUAUUUAUUAGCCUCCUGUUCCUGUUAGAUUUUCUUUUUUCCGUAGAAAGUAAGGAGAACUAAGUUGUAAUUAGCAUAUAGCAGACUUAUCAGAGAGAGCUUGAAAAGUUUUGUGGUAUGGCAUUUGAUUGAUAAUGGGUGUUUUUGCUGUUUCGUAGUUUUAUUUGGUUUAACAUGCAUAUGAUAAUUAAGGUCACAGGGAAUUGCUUUAUGUUUACUAAUAUAAAUUAUGAAUGCGAGCGAAGUUAAGCGUGUGUCGCAUGUGAAAAAUGUAUAUGAUUUAUUUAGUUUUCUUAAGUAAAUGCUGUCUUCAAUUUUUAUGGAUGAGUAGUGCGUAUGAUAUAUAUGUCUUUAGUCAUAUUCUUCUAACGGUUUAGGUUAUAAGACUUUUCUUUGUUGCCAUAUGAAGAGUAAAGCUUAUGUAGCUUUAAGCAAUACAGCCUGCCCUUUUGUCGAGCAAGUACUUUCAAUUCAAUUUUCUGUGUCUUUCUUUCACCAAAAUUGUAACAAUGCUUAGCAUAAUUAUGCAAGAGGGAUUCACACAUCUUCUACUUCAGCUUGUCCUUGUCCUUCCAGCAGAGAAUCGAUUCCUUGUAAUAUAUGGUAUUUUUUUCUCACAAAGGGAAACCUCUGAGGUUUUUCUCUUCUCUUUCUUGGAACUGUAACAAAGAUAGUCAAUAGACAUUUUAUGAAUUCAGACAAGGUAUUUUGGUGGAGGGCGUGGGUGGGAAAUCAUGCUGUUGUUAAUGUUCAGUAUCAAGUAUGUUUAGAAAUGGAAUUGUUAUUGUUAAUUAUAUCUAGAAUCUUUAAACUGCUAUCAUUCUAUGGCCCUCUAUUAAUGCUUGAUUCAAAAGAAGAAGAAGAAGAAGAAGAAGCUGAAAUAGCACCCGAGCAUUUGGCCGAUUGGUUGGUGCAUGAACCCCCUCCUUAAAGAGUAGGGUUCAAAUCCCCCUUCCCCCAAUUAUAAAAGAAAAAAAAAAGGAGCUGAAAUAGGAAAAGAAGAAGAAGAAGAAGCAAUAUGUUCAGAAAUAGAAUUUUGAGUAUAAGUCUUAUUGGAGUGAUUGGUGGUCAACUGAGUUGAAGGGACAUUUCUGUGAUGCAUGGUUAUUCAUGUUUAAAGUGGUAAGUUUUUCUCAGUCAAUUCAACUAAAUAUGUUCAAUUAUAGUUGGUAUAGCAGAGAAUUUAGGAAAACUGAAAAACCCAGUUUAAUUCAUUGAUUUGAAGGCGAAUUUCAUGUUUGGCAGAAAGGUUGAUCGAAGGGGUAAAUGUGAGUGGUAUGAAGAAUAGGCAGGGUUAAAAAUCUAAUAGUUAUGAUCAAUUUUAUAUUUAUAAAUUUUUUAUGUGCAGAAGGUUCCAUAUAUAUGAAUAUUCUUCAUGAAAUUUUGCAUGUCUUAUAAAUAUGUAUCUGUUUUAUUAACUUAUUUGUUUAAUUCUGUUUCUUAAACUGAGUGAAAAGUAUUACUUCCUUUAAAUUUUACUAACAAAAUGGAAAGGGAAGGAAUGUUUUCCCAAGGAAGAAGAAGAAGAACAAGAACAAAAGAAGAGAAAGAAAUCCUAGAUCGAUGGCAUGAAUUCAUUUGUGUUAAGUUAUUCUCUUUUUUAAAAUGAUUUUAGACCUAAAAUGAUGGUGUUUAGAAUAUCAAGGAUUUUAGGCCUUGGUUAGUUGUUAACAUUUACAAAUGUAUAAAACUAUUUAAGCUAAGGUACUAGCUAAUAGGUUCAAGAAGGCCUUGGUUAAUCUCAUGAAGAGGAAGCAGAUAAUUUCCACUUGCGGUUGCAUGUUUAAGAACAGUGGUGAGUCAGUAGACUAUGGUAAUUAUUUUAUGACUUUGUGUGGUAAAGGCUAAAGGUUAGCUAAAAUAGAUUUUUAAAGGCUGUGCAGUCUUUUCUCCUCUCUCUCUUUCUCUCUCUCUCUCUCUCUCUCUCUCUUGCUCUCAUAUCAGUACUCUUUACAUGAGUUGACAUUGGUAGGCAUAGUUUUUGUAGUAAAUGAUAUUUGUUCUGCAUUUAUUUAUGGUUUGUUGCUCUAGUUGUAUCUAGGGUUGAACAGAUGCCAUAGUGUUUUCUCCAUGUACACAAACCUUGCGUGCUUGUGAUCAAAAUUGCAGUCUGUGACCAAGAGAGGGAAAGAGGAUUAUGUAUGCAAAUCAUAUCGAGAAGACCUUAGAGAGAUUUGUGGUAGCAUAGUUGAUUGACAACUUGAUGCUGUGAAGAUGGCAAUCAGUUUUAAGAGUUUUGAUAUGUAAAGGCAAGCUAACUGUUUAUGAUGUUUGAAUGGUUACUAAUCUGAAAGUUUUUUUGUAAGUUAUAGUAAGAAACAGAACAAAUGGAUCAUAUGCAAAUGGUUUUUUUAAGUGA